rnacentral:rRNA from 1 species
CAUGCAAGUCGAACGAGCGAGAGAGAGCUUGCUUUCUCGAGCGAGUGGCGAACGGGUGAGUAACGCGUGAGGAACCUGCCUCAAAGAAGGGGACAACAGUUGGAAACGACUGCUAAUACCGCAUAAGCCCACGGGUCGGCAUCGACCAGAGGGAAAAGGAGCAAUCCGCUUUGAGAUGGCCUCGCGUCCGAUUAGCUAGUUGGUGAGGUAACGGCCCACCAAGGCGACGAUCGGUAGCCGGACUGAAAGGUUGAACGGCCACAUUGGGACUGAGACACGGCCCAGACUCCUACGGGAGGCAGCAGUGGGGAAUAUUGCACAAUGGGGGAAACCCUGAUGCAGCGACGCCGCGUGGAGGAAGAAGGUCUUCGGAUUGUAAACUCCUGUUGUUGGGGAAGAUAAUGACGGUACCCAACAAGGAAGUGACGGCUAACUACGUGCCAGCAGCCGCGGUAAAACGUAGGUCACAAGCGUUGUCCGGAAUUACUGGGUGUAAAGGGAGCGCAGGCGGGAAGACAAGUUGGAAGUGAAAUCUAUGGGCUCAACCCAUAAACUGCUUUCAAAACUGUUUUUCUUGAGUAGUGCAGAGGUAGGCGGAAUUCCCGGUGUAGCGGUGGAAUGCGUAGAUAUCGGGAGGAACACCAGUGGCGAAGGCGGCCUACUGGGCACCAACUGACGCUGAGGCUCGAAAGUGUGGGUAGCAAACAGGAUUAGAUACCCUGGUAGUCCACACCGUAAACGAUGAUUACUAGGUGUUGGAGGAUUGACCCCUUCAGUG